rfam:Brachypodium distachyon strain Bd21 chromosome 2, whole genome shotgun sequence.
AAUAUACUCCCUCAAUCCAACAAAAGGAUGUCUCAACUUUGACUAAAUUUGAAUGCAUCCAUACACUAAGUCGUGUCUAGAUAUAUCCAAAUUUUGACAAACUUGAGACAUUUUUUGUUGGACGGAGGGAGUAUUUG